GACGAACCGUGCUAACGUUAUUCGGAAUUACUGGGCUUAAAGCGCGUGUAGGCGGGCCGGCACGUCGGUCGCUGAAAUCCCGCGGCUCAACCGCGGAAGUGGCGCCGAUACGACCGGCCUGGAGGGGCGUAGGGGGAGCUGGAACUCACGGUGGAGCGGUGAAAUGCGUUGAGAUCGUGAGGAACGCCCGCGGCGAAAGCGAGCUCCUGGACGCCUUCUGACGCUGAGACGCGAAAGCCAGGGGAGCGAACGGG
rnacentral:rRNA from 1 species